rnacentral:tRNA from 1 species
GCCUUUGUAGUGUAACGGUUAGCGCACUCGGCGCGUAUUCGAGAGAUCCAGGUUCAAGUCCUGGCGAGGGCA